AGGGUCUCCUUCCGGAACCCGGACCAAAGAUGGACUUCAACAGCCCCAAGGGGAAAGGCCUGCCCUCGGAUCACCCUGCAGAGAGAUGGGUGCCGCCCUCCAGCGGCCGCCCAGGGAGGAGGGUCCACCCUGAGGGAGACACAAGCCCCAGCCUUAUCCCCAGCAGCACACAGAUGUCAGGGGACACCUCUCCCAUGACUUCAGCCACCUCCUCCUCUGCAGAUGAAUCUGAGCGGCUUCCUUCCUCACAGGCGAAGGUAACAACCCUUGUCAGACCCCAGAGGGCCCUGGCUUGCUGGGGCUGUUCACCUUCCAGACCGCAGGCCCCACGUGGGCUCCAGCUGCCGGGCCUCUGUUUCACAUCUGGGUUUAGGCUCACGUUUCAGUGCAGCUCACAGUCUCCAUUCUUUUUACCUGGGACCCUUCAGAAAUUACCUUCGCAGAGAUUAGCUGGAAAGAAAAAACUGGCAUGGAAGAGAGAGAGAAAUCAAAACAAAACAACAACAACAAAACAACAACAAAACAACAACAAAAAAACCCAGACCUCUUCACUUGAAAUCAUGGACUGACUACUGCUCCUACCCUGGGUUUACAAUGUAGUCCAACAAGAAAACUGUAGAAAGAAUUACCACAAGUAAGGGGCCAGCUAGUAGCGCUCCUGGUUGGGCGCACAUGUUACAGUGCACAGAGACCUGGGUUCAAACCCCCAGUCCCCACCUGCGGGGGUGGGGGGAAGCUUUCCGAGUGGUGAAGCAGGGCUGCAGGAGUCUCUCUCCCUCUCUAUCUCCCCUCCUCUCUCAAUUUCUAGCUGUCUCUAUCCAAUAAACAAAGAUAAUU